UACGUAGGGGGCUAGCGUUGUCCGGAAUCAUUGGGCGUAAAGCGCGUGUAGGCGGCCCGGUAAGUCCGCUGUGAAAGUCGGGGGCUCAACCCUCGAAUGCCGGUGGAUACUGCUGGGCUAGAGUACGGAAGAGGCGAGUGGAAUUCCCGGUGUAGCGGUGAAAUGCGCAGAUAUCAGGAGGAACACCGGUGGCGAAGGCGGAUCUCUGGGCCUUACCUGACGCUCAGGCGCGAAAGCUAGGGGAGCGAACAGG
rnacentral:rRNA from 1 species